rnacentral:rRNA from 1 species
AGUGAACGCUGGCGGUAGGCCUAACACAUGCAAGUCGAACGGCAGCACAGUAAGAGCUUGCUCUUACGGGUGGCGAGUGGCGGACGGGUGAGGAAUACAUCGGAAUCUACUUUUUCGUGGGGGAUAACGUAGGGAAACUUACGCUAAUACCGCAUACGACCUACGGGUGAAAGCAGGGGAUCUUCGGACCUUGCGCGAUUGAAUGAGCCGAUGUCGGAUUAGCUAGUUGGCGGGGUAAAGGCCCACCAAGGCGACGAUCCGUAGCUGGUCUGAGAGGAUGAUUAGCCACACUGGAACGUAGAAACGGUCCAGACCCCUACGGGGGGGAGCAGGGGGGAAUAUUGGACAAUGGGCGGAAGCCUGAUCCAGGCAAACCGCGGGGGGGAAGAAGGCCUUCGGGUUGUAAAGCCCUUUUUUUGGGAAAAAAAAGCAGCAGGUUAAAACCCCGCUGUUCUGACGGUACCCAAAGAAUAAGCACCGGCUAACUUCGUG